UACGGAGGGUGCAAGCGUUAUCCGGAAUCACUGGGUUUAAAGGGUGCGUAGGCGGCUAAAUAAGUCAGAGGUGAAAGCUUGCAGCUUAACUGCGAAAUUGCCUUUGAUACUGUAUAGCUUGAAAGGAGCUGAGGUCAGCAGAAUGUGGCAUGUAGCGGUGAAAUGCAUAGAUAUGCCAGAGAAUACCAAUUGCGAAGGCAGCUGGCUGGGCUUACUUUGACGAUGAGGCACGAAAGAGUGGGGAUCGAACAGG
rnacentral:rRNA from 1 species